CCUACGGGGGGCAGCAGUGGGGGAUAUUGGACAAUGGGGGAAACCCUGAUCCAGCGACGCCGCGUGAGUGAAGAAGUAUUUCGGUAUGUAAAGCUCUGUCAGCAGGGAAGAAAGAAAUGACGGUACCUGACCAAGAAGCCCCGGCUAACUACGUGCCAGCAGCCGCGGUAAUACGUAGGGGGCAAGCGUUAUCCGGAUUUACUGGGUGUAAAGGGAGCGUAGACGGCAGCGCAAGUCUGGAGUGAAAUGCCGGGGCCCAACCCCGGAACUGCUCUGGAAACUGUGAAGCUGGAGUGCAGGAGAGGUAAGCGGAAUUCCUGGUGUAGCGGUGAAAUGCGUAGAUAUCAGGAGGAACACCGGCGGCGAAGGCGGCUUACUGGACUGUAACUGACGUUGAGGCUCGAAGGCGUGGGGAGCAAACAGGAUUAGAUACCCCAGUAGUC
rnacentral:rRNA from 1 species